GAUGAACGCUGGCGGCGUGCCUAACACAUGCAAGUCGAACGGAGUCGUUUUGGCAAUCUCUUCGGAGAUGGAAUUCUCGACUUAGUGGCGGACGGGUGAGUAACGCGUGAGCAAUCUGCCUUUAAGAGGGGGAUAACAGUCGGAAACGGCUGCUAAUACCGCAUAAAGCUUUAAAUUCGCAUGUUUUUGAUGCCAAAGGAGCAAUCCGCUUUUAGAUGAGCUCGCGUCUGAUUAGCUAGUUGGCGGGGUAACGGCCCACCAAGGCGACGAUCAGUAGCCGGACUGAGAGGUUGAACGGCCACAUUGGGACUGAGACACGGCCCAGACUCCUACGGGAGGCAGCAGUGGGGAAUAUUGCGCAAUGGGGGAAACCCUGACGCAGCAACGCCGCGUGAUUGAAGAAGGCCUUCGGGUUGUAAAGAUCUUUAAUCAGGGACGAAACAAAUGACGGUACCUGAAGAAUAAGCUCCGGCUAACUACGUG
rnacentral:rRNA from 1 species